rnacentral:rRNA from 1 species
CUGAAGUUAACCGUAUAAGCACUCCGCCUGGGGAGUACGGCCGCAAGGCUGAAACUCAAAGGAAUACACGGGGGCCCGCACUUCCGGUGGAGCAUGUGGUUUAAUUCCUUGCAACGCGAAGAACCUUACCAGGUGAUGACAUCUUCGGACACCCCUGGAGACAGGGCGUUCCCUUCGGGGACCGAAUGACAGGUGGUGCAACCAUGUCGUCAGCAGCUGUCGUGAGAUGUUGGGAAUUGUCCCGCAACGAGCGCAACCCCUGACCUUAGUUGCCAGCAUUCAGUUGGGCACUCUAAGGUGACUGCCGGUGUGUUUGGCCUGGAAGCGCGGGAUGACGUCAAAUCAUCAUGCCCCUUAUGACCUGGGCUACACACGUGCUACAAACCUUGGUACAAAGGGCAGCGAAGCCGCGAGCAGUAGGUAAUCCCAUAAAACCAUUCUCAGUAGGGAUUGCAGGCUGCAACUCGCCUGCAUGAAGCCGGAAUCGCUAGUAAUCGCGGAUCAGCAUGCCGCGGUGAAUACGUUCCCGGGCCUUGUACACACCGCCCGUCACACGACGAGAGUUGGCAACACCCGAAGUCGGUGAGGUAACCUUUAUGGAGCCAGCCGC